rnacentral:rRNA from 1 species
UGGUAGGUACAGAGGGCAGCUACCCAGCGAUGGGGUGCGAAUCUCGAAAGCCUAUCUCAGUUCGGAUUGGAGGCUGAAACCCGCCUCCAUGAAGUUGGAUUCGCUAGUAAUCGCGCACCAGCCAUGGCGCGGUGAAUACGUUCCCGGGCCUUGUACACACCGCCCGUCAAGCCAUGGGAGCUGGGGGUGCCUGAAGUUCGUGACCGCAAGGAUCGACCUAGGGCAAAACCGGUGACUGGGGCUAAGUCGUAACAAGGUACC